rnacentral:rRNA from 1 species
CGCAGCCGCGGUAAUUCCAGCUCCAAUAGCGUAUAUUAAAGUUGUUGCAGUUAAAAAGCUCGUAGUUGAAUUUCGGGGUCAGUAGGUCGGUCGUGCCACUGGUAUGAACUGGUUUUACUGAUUCCUCCCUCUUGAAGAACUGUAAUGCCAUUAAUUUGGUGUUGCAGGGAAUCAGGACUGUUACUUUGAAAGAAUUAGAGUGUUUAAAGCAGGCUUUAGCUUGAAUACAUUAGCAUGGAAUAAUGAAAUAGGACGUUUGAUCCUAUUUUGUUGGUUUCUAGGAUUGACGUAAUGAUUAAUAGGGAUAGUUGGGGGCAUUAGUAUUCAAUUGUCAGAGGUGAAAUUCUUGGAUUUAUUGAAGACUAACUACUGCGAAAGCAUUUGCCAAGGAUGUUUUCAUUAAUCAAGAACGAAAGUUAGGGGAUCGAAGACGAUCAGAUACCGUCGUAGUCUUAACCAUAAACUAUGCCGACUAGGGAUCGGAUGAUGUUAAUUUUUUAAUGACUCA